ensembl:lncRNA
CCCAGGAGCAACCCUUCCACCCAAACGUCCUCUGAGAGGACAAAUCACCUCCAGUUGAGAGCACUGGUCUAAAGGAUCUUCCCAGCUGUUCGAAAAGAAAAAACAACCAUCAAUUCUUCCCAACCAGGUGUCUCCUGAGAUCCCAAAAUGUGGGUCAUAGCAUCCCUGUAAUGCGAUUUUGCUUUGUGGCUCAGCUUACUGCUAGUACUGUCUGUGCUGAUGAAGUCUCUUCUCUGGCUAAUCUUCUGAGCAUCUACUUUCUACCUUUCGGGGAGUGGAAGAGGGGUAGUUAUGUGGGUAUGUUGGGAGUGGGUGGGGCCCUAUUUCAACCCUGCAUCCUACCCAGUGACCAACCGCACUCCAAAUUCUGAGCUUUUCCACGUUUGCAUCUCUGCAGACACUUGUGUCUUCUCUGUCUCCCGAGUCUUUUACCUUUUCUGCAUCCAUUUUCUGUCUUCAUAUUUUGAGAUUUGCAAGUGCACAUGUCUCUACUUUUGUUAAAGGUGGAGUUUGGAUUUAUUUUCUUGUUUUCAUUGUAUUGGAAUAAUUUCUGCCUUAUCUGAUGUGAUGGUCCUUCAUCGGAGAAAAGAUGGUGAUGAUGAACCAAGGCUGGGAGAAGGUGGAGCCAGGCUUCGGAAGGCUCCCAGGACAAAGUGCAGGAGGAAACGGGGAGGCCCCACAGACUCAGUCACAAUUAAGUCAGAAUUCUCUCAGGCUUGCUACAUUGUGAUGUCUAUCGGAGAUAGAAGACCUGCCUGGCUGGGUCUCAAAUGAGUCAGGACAGACUUCCACCUGUAACUGAGCCUCGUCCCUGACUGUCACCUCAGAAAUGAAGGAAGGUGGGCGUUUCGGGUGGGGAGAAGUGGCAGGCAGGAGUGGCUGCAGAGCUGACCGUGAGGGACACUCCUUUCUCUGUCCUCUCCUGCUAGGAUGGGGCAGAGGACAGUCCACUACCCACUGCCCCGGGCGCGGAGCUCUCCUCACAACAGCCCUACCACCAGCCACUCUAGGGCUAAUGGAGACUGAUUUUAGGCAGAGGAAGACGGACCCUUCCAGAUGUUUCUGGCCUCCUCCUCUCCUGGGCCUCUUCCUCUCGUUCCUGGCAUGUCUUAAUCCUCCUGGUGGAAGUCUCCCACCUUUCAGGAGGACCUGUUCACCAGGACCCCUCAUCUCCGUGUCGUCUACACCUUCCACGGUGAAGGACACGCUCUCAGCCCUGUGUGGUGUCUUGAACGUGUGCACCUGUAUAACGUCUUCCACAGAAUUUGGUGAGCAAUUGAUUCUGGAAGAAACACGGUGGAGAUCUUCCCCAAGACUGGGGUGCUCAGAGGGAGCCCUCCCGUGGAGCUCAGCUCACAGCACCAGGCUAACUCAGGUUUCUGGGGCGGCGGCCUGUCCCGCCUCAGCCUGCCGGGGACGCCAUGUGGACGCCACGCUGCUCGACUGGCACAGAGGGACCGCAGGCGCCCGGUUCUCGGGCCUCUGAGGCUGGAGCCAGGGUUAGUGCCACUGUCUGGUUCAUCAAACGCUGCAGAGGCCGUGAGGAAGGCUGGCUUUCUCCAGCAAACCCCAUGCUCCCUUGUUCACUGUGAGACCUGGCAGCUGUCUGGAUUUACUUCUCACAAAUCACUUGUUCUACUUUCUGUAUCUUAUCAGAGGGGAAAUUGUGGAAUAAAACCUUUCAGGAUCUAGGAUGCUGGCGGCUGACUGGAUCUGGGAAGGCCCUCCUGGUACCUGGCCCUGCCUGCCUGUUCAGUCUAUGGGCCGGCCAAGCUGUAACACCACUAUGAACAGGAGUGGAAACAUGGGGGAGCAUCAGGUCACACCCCGACACUUGUCACAUGUCGGCUUCAUCAAAUGUGACAUUUACUUCGUGGGUGAGUUUUAUCCAGAUGUUCCUAUCCGUGAUUUUCUCAUUAGUUCUUGACCUGCCUUAUUGGAAGGGGAAGACGGGCAGAUGACCAGGCUGCUCGUGUUGCUUCAUUGGGUCGGGACGGCAGUUGUUCCGUUGGCCAUUCCUAGUAGUGUCACCCUGGCUCUUACGUUCUUGACCUAAAGAACUCCCGCUGGAAUACACGAAACUCCACCGGAAAGAGAGGUGACACAUGUCAAGUGCAUUUUGUGACACUGGUAGUUCUCCGCUCUUUAAGAAAAAUAUAAACACUGUGGUAUACUGGGCCUGCAAUUUAUACUUCUGAAGCCAGAUCAUAUCUGUGACCUCUUUUAACAUGAAAAGGAAGAAAAUCAAUAGGUGCAAAGAUGUGUGACCAUGAGAGCUGAUAAGCUAAUGUGCGCUUCCCUGAGCCUACGAUUUUCUGUCACUCCUGGUUCACAGAACUCACUCUGCACGUGUGCAACCCAGGGGGAGCCCUGUGCACCCGCCUCACCACCCUGCCUGUGAUGGAUGCGGCGCCUGGCAUCUGGGAAAGGUUACCGCGUUGAGAGAGCAUCGCAGCCGCCAUUCUUUCCUCCGUGUUCUCUGUUUGCAUCGUUGGGGUGAAGAAGCAGCUGCAGCAGGUGGCAGCGUCCUCUGGCCUGAAGACGUGGGGAGGAGAUGGGAGAUUCCCUCCGGAGCUGACAAUCUGAUUGGGUUCUGUGUGAACAAGCCGUUGACCUUCCUGCUUCCUUUCAGCCCCAUAGCCUGGGGUAGGACGCAGUUCUGUGUUGGUCACUCGUGUUCAGCCUGCACACGGGGCUCAGAGCCUGGACUCGUGCUCCCUCGCCAGAACCAAGGGCUUUCCCGGGAGAGUGGAGUCAGCGUGAACGCCUGACAGAUGCUCUGAGCGCUGAGUGGAAAGACUUCUGCACUUGUGACACGUAUUUAUAGGAGUUACGUUAAAAUCCUUCUCACACAAUUCCAACCUCUGGCUUAUCUGGUAUCGUUACCCAUUGAUUGUCUUUUAUCAUUCAAGUUGUGAUUACUUUGACUCUUUGUAUGAUAAAUGAUUUUGGAGUGAAGCCGGACAUUUUGGGUAUUAUAUUGAGACUUUGGGUCCUUUUUAAUCUCCCUUUUGUUUUUGGGUAAGGAAGGUUGGCCCUGAGCUAACAUCUGUUGCCAAUCCUCCUGUUUUUGCUUGAAGAAGAUUGUCACUGAGCUAACAUCUGUGCCAGUCUUCCUCUAUUUUGUGUGUGGGAUGCUGCUGCAGUAAGGCUGAUGAGCAGUGUGUAGGUCCAUGCCUAGGAUCUGAA